rnacentral:rRNA from 1 species
UACGUAGGGUGCAAGCGUUAAUCGGAAUUACUGGGCGUAAAGCGCACGUAGGCGGAUAUUUAAGUCAGGGGUGAAAUCCCGGGGCUCAACCCCGGAACUGCCUUUGAUACUGGGUAUCUCGAGUCCGAGAGAGGUGAGUGGAAUUCCGAGUGUAGAGGUGAAAUUCGUAGAUAUUCGGAGGAACACCAGUGGCGAAGGCGGCUCACUGGCUCGGUACUGACGCUGAGGUGCGAAAGCGUGGGGAGCAAACAGG